rnacentral:rRNA from 1 species
UGGCUCAGAACGAACGCUGGCGGCAGGCCUAACACAUGCAAGUCGAACGCCCUAGCAAUAGGGAGUGGCGCACGGGUGCGUAACGCGUGGGAAUAUGCCCUUCACUGCGGAAUAACGUUUGGAAACGAACGCUAAUACCGCAUAAUGACUCCGGUCCAAAGAUUUAUCGGUGAAGGAUUAGCCCGCGUUAGAUUAGCUAGUUGGUGAGGUAAUGGCUCACCAAGGCGACGAUCUAUAGCUGGUCUGAGAGGAUGAUCAGCCACACUGGGACUGAGACACGGCCCAGACUCCUACGGGAGGCAGCAGUGGGGAAUAUUGGACAAUGGGGGCAACCCUGAUCCAGCAAUGCCGCGUGAGUGAUGAAGGCCUUAGGGUUGUAAAGCUCUUUUGCCAGGGAAGAUGAUGACUGUACCUAGAGAAUAAGCCCCGGCUAACUUCGUG